rnacentral:lncRNA from 1 species
AGAACCUUUCUACAUUUUUAAGCCUUUGCACCUCUAGCUCCAGCACUAACAUAGUGUUAUGGUAGAGCCUGGAGUUGAUUUUUUUAAAAUGUAACUUAAUAUACCCCCCAUGACCAUUGUUUCUUUCAGGGAACCCCCAGAGUAGCAUCCUAUAGAAUCCUAGGAUUCUUGAUGAUAACACAAUUUAUACACUCCUGGACCUUAGCACUUCCAAGGGUAUGGUUAAACGAUCCGGGAGUCAAUUCAGUUCAAUUUCUAAAGCUUUUAUUAAGUACUUACUAUGUAUGAGGGGCACUACACUAGACCCUGGGUUUCAAAAAAACAGAUAAACAAUCUCUACCCUCCCUUCUUUCUACUGGGGGAAUAUAACAUGUAUUCAAGUAAGCAAAUAUAGAAUAUAAACAAAGUCAUUUCAAGAAGGAGAAAGUACUAAAGGAUGAGAGUCAGGAAAGACUUGAAUAGCAGGUGGCACCCUUGAGCUAUGUUCUUUGAAGGAAGGUAGGGAGAGGUAUGGAGAUGGGUACAUUGUAGACAGAGGAGGCACUCUUUGUAAUGGCAAGAAGGCAGAAGGGGGAGUGACAUGUAGUGGCAAGCAGCUGGCAGACUAGUUUCAUUAGAAUGGAAAGUAUAUGAAGGACAAUAAAAUGAAACAAGAUUGCCAAGGUUGGUGGGAGCCAGAUUAUGAAGGGAUUUAAAUGCCAGGCUGGGGGGACUUUAUAUUUUAUCACAAAGGUUAUAUGGAGCCAAUUGAAAAUAAAGAUUUUGAAUAGAGGGUUAACAAUGUCAGAUCUGUGUUUUAGGAAUAUUGAUUCAACAGCUUUUUGGAGGCUGGAUUGAAGGAGAGAAUGAAUGAAGAAGCCAGGAACCUAUCGCAACAGUCUAAGCGGAAGUGAUGGAGACCAAACAAGAAUAAAGGCUUCACAAGUGAAAGAAGACACAGACGUAAGAGUUGUUCUGAAGUUAUAAUAGACAAGAUUUGGGAAGUGAUAGGACAUGGAAAUAGUUGGGGUUGGAAACAGUAAAGAUCCCAAAGUGACAAUUGUAAGUGUGAACCUCAGUGACUGGAAGGAUGGAGACAGCAUCAAUAGCACUGAAGAAGUUUGGAAGGAUAAGUGUGGAAGAGAACAAUCCCUUAUAACAAAGAAUGAACAGAAAAAGGAAGAAAGAAAAAGAGGAGAAAGAAAAAAAAGCAACAAAUCUCAGCAAAACCUUAAAAAAGAUCUGAUGACAUGCAAUGUUCUACACCUCUAGAUUCCUGCUACAAAGGAGUGAGGAGAAACACCUUCUAGUUCUUUGAGGCUAAAACUGUCCUUUAUAAGUUAGAAUAUUUAAGUUAGAUUGUUUUUUGUUGUGGUUGUUUUUCCAUUUACAUCAUUGUAAUCAUUAUAUAUGUUGUUUUCCUGGCUUUGCUUAUGUCACAUUCCAUCAGAUUGUAUUAAGUCCUUCCAUAAUUCUCUGUAUUCAUCAUGCUAAUUUUUUGUUACAGCACAGUCAUUUCUAUUACAUUCAUAAACCACAAUUUGUUUAGUCAUUCCCCAAUCGAUGUAAAUCUAUUUCUUUUCUAGUGCUUUGCUACCACCAAAAAGAAAUGCUGCUAUAAAUACUUUGGUUUAUAUGACAAUUUUUUUUAAAUCACUGACUUACUUGGCAUAAAUGCCUAGCAGUGGGAUCUCUGAAUCAAAAAGUAUAUACAUUCUAGCCACUUUAUUUGCAUAAUUCCAAAUUGCUUUCCUAAGUGGUUGUACUGGUUGAACAAUUCCACCAACUCCAACCGGCUCCACCAAUGCCAAAAUUAGUGUUUACAUUCAUCUCCACAUUUCUUC